UCGAUGUCUGGGGCCGCACGCGCGCUACACUGAAGGAAUCAGCGUGUGCUCUCCCUGUCCGGUAGGACUGGGUAACCCGUUGAAACUCCUUCGUGAUAGGGAUAGGGGCUUGUAAUUGUUCCCCUUGAACGAGGAAUACCUAGUAAGCGCGAGUCAUAAGCUCGUGCUGAUUACGUCCCUGCCCUUUGUCCACACCGCCCGUCGCUACUACCGAUUGAAUGAUUUAGUGAGGUCUUUGGACCGGCGCUCGGAGCGGCCUCGGGCCGGGCCGAAGUGCUGGAAAGAUGACCGAACUUGAUCAUUUAGAGGAAGUAAAAGUCGUAACAAGGUU
rnacentral:rRNA from 1 species